UUUCUCAGGCAGGCCACCUCAGGUCUCUCAUUGCCAUUAUGAACUCAGUCAAGGAUGUUUUGCUACUUACUGUUCUUUUACAUUUGCUUGUUCUGCACUUAAUAAACUCACUCAUUAGAACCCAAAGGUACAGCUAUCACAGGUCACACUGUACGGCUAUCAUAGGUCACACUGUACGGCUAUCAUAGGUCACACUGUACGGCUAUCAUAGGUCACACUGUACGGCUAUCAUAGGUCACACUGUACGGCUAUCAUAGGUCACACUGUACGGCUAUCAUAGGUCACACUGUACGGCUAUCAUAGGUCACACUGUACGGCUAUCAUAGGUCACACUGUACGGCUAUCAUAGGUCACACUGUACGGCUAUCAUAGGUCACCCUGUACGGCUAUCAUAGGUCACCCUGUACGGCUAUCAUAGGUCACCCUGUACGGCUAUCAUAGGUCACACUGUACGGCUAUCAUAGGUCACACUGUACGGCUAUCAUAGGUCACACUGUACGGCUAUCAUAGGUCACACUGUACGGCUAUCAGAGGUCACACUGUACGGCUAUCAUAGGUCACACUGUACGGCUAUCAUAGGUCACACUGUACGGCUA